rfam:Corchorus capsularis cultivar CVL-1 contig10307, whole genome shotgun sequence.
CAUCCCUAUGAUGAAUUUCUAUUGAAUUGUACAAGUUGAUAGGCCUGAUUUGCGUUGAAGAAUAGAAAAUUUUGAGGGAUG